GGUGGCCUAGUGGUUAGAGCGUUCGCCUCAAAUGCGGGAGGUCGUGGGUUCGAUCCCACGAGUCA